GAUGAACGCUGGCGGCGUGCCUAAUACAUGCAAGUCGAGCGAACGGACGAGAAGCUUGCUUCUCUGAUGUUAGCGGCGGACGGGUGAGUAACACGUGGAUAACCUACCUAUAAGACUGGGAUAACUUCGGGAAACCGGAGCUAAUACCGGAUGAUAUUUUGAACCGCAUGGUUCAAAAGUGAAAGACGGUCUUGCUGUCACUUAUAGAUGGAUCCGCGCUGCAUUAGCUUGUUGGUAAGGUAACGGCUUACCAAGGCAACGAUGCAUAGCCGACCUGAGAGGGUGAUCGGCCACACUGGAACUGAGACACGGUCCAGACUCCUACGGGAGGCAGCAGUAGGGAAUCUUCCGCAAUGGGCGAAAGCCUGACGGAGCAACGCCGCGUGAGUGAUGAAGGUCUUCGGAUCGUAAAACUCUGUUAUUAGGGAAGAACAUAUGUGUAAGUAACUGUGCACAUCUUGACGGUACCUAAUCAGAAAGCCACGGCUAACUACGU
rnacentral:rRNA from 1 species